rnacentral:RNase_P_RNA from 1 species
CAAGCAGACCGGGUGGCCGCCCUGAUUUUAUCGGGGAGGAAAGUCCGAACUCCGCCGGGCAGGGUGCUGGGUAACGCCCAGGAGGGGUGACCCUACGGAAAGUGCCACAGAAACUAUACCGUCCCGAUCAGGUCGGGAUAAGGGUGAAAAGGCGAGGUAAGAGCUCACCAGCGUCCGGGAGACCGGCCGGCUGGGCAAACCCCACCCGGAGCAAGACCAAAUAGGGGGACCACGGGACGCCCGGACCACGUCCUCGGGUUGGUCGCUGGACCCCGAUGGUAACAUCGGGGCUAGAUAGAUGGCCACCGUCUCGACAGUGUCGGGAUACAGGAUUCGGCUUAUAGGUCUACUUGCCCC